rnacentral:rRNA from 1 species
AAGUCGAGCGAGAAAUAGUGAAAAGAUACUUCGGUAAAUGGAAGCUAUNGAAAGCGGCGGACGGGUGAGUAACGCGUAGGCAACCUGCCCCAUACACAGGGAUAGCCUCGGGAAACCGGGAUUAAAACCUGAUAAUACAGCAAGAUCAAAUGAUUUUGCUGUCAAAGAUUUAUCGGUAAGGGAUGGGCCUGCGUCUGAUUAGCUAGUUGGUAGGGUAACGGCCUACCAAGGCGACGAUCAGUAGCCGACCUGAGAGGGUAAACGGCCACAUUGGAACUGAGACACGGUCCAAACUCCUACGGGAGGCAGCAGUGGGGAAUAUUGCACAAUGGGGGAAACCCUGAUGCAGCAACGCCGCGUGAGCGAAGAAGGCCUUUGGGUCGUAAAGCUCUGUCCUUGGGGAAGAAGAAGAUGACGGUACCCAAGGAGGAAGCCCCGGCUAACUACGUGCCAGCAGCCGCGGUAAUACGUAGGGGGCAAGCGUUAUCCGGAAUUAUUGGGCGUAAAGGGUACGUAGGCGGUUAUCUAAGCAUGAGGUGAAAGGCAAUGGCUUAACUAUUGUAAGCCUUGUGAACUGGAUGACUUGAGUGCNGGAGAGGAAAGUGGAAUUCCUAGUGUAGCGGUGAAAUGCGUAGAGAUUAGGAGGAACACCCAGUGGCGAAGGCNACUUUCUGGACUGUAACUGACNCUGAGGUACGAAAGCGUGGGGAGCAAACAGGAUUAGAUACCCUGGUAGUCCACNCUGUAAACNAUGAGCACUAGGUGUCGGGAUCGCGAGGUCUCGGUGCCCCANUUAACCCNUUAAGUGCUCCCCCUGGGGAGUACCNCACCNCAAGUGUAAACUCCAAAGGAAUUGACNGGGNGCCCNCCCCAANCNCCNGANCAUGUUGGUUUUAUUUCGAA